rnacentral:rRNA from 1 species
ACAACAGGGAUUGCCUCAGUAACGGCGAGUGAAGCGGCAACAGCUCAAAUUUGAAAUCUGGCUCUUUCAGGGUCCGAGUUGUAAUUUGUAGAAGAUGCUUCGGGUGUGGCUCCGGUCUAAGUUCCUUGGAACAGGACGUCAUAGAGGGUGAGAAUCCCGUAUGUGACUGGGUGCCUUCGCUCAUGUGAAGCUCUUUCGACGAGUCGAGUUGUUUGGGAAUGCAGCUCAAAAUGGGUGGUAAAUUUCAUCUAAAGCUAAAUAUUGGCCAGAGACCGAUAGCGCACAAGUAGAGUGAUCGAAAGAUGAAAAGCACUUUGGAAAGAGAGUUAAACAGUACGUGAAAUUGUUGAAAGGGAAGCGCUUGCAACCAGACUUGCACGCGGUUGAUCAUCCGGUGUUCUCACCGGUGCACUCUGCCGCGUUCAGGCCAGCAUCGGUUUUGGUGGUUGGAUAAAGGCCUAGGGAAUGUAGCUUCUUUCGGGGAGUGUUAUAGCCCUAGGUGCAAUGCAGCCUACUGGGACCGAGGACCGCGCUUCGGCUAGGAUGCUGGCGUAAUGGUUGUAAGCGACCCGUCUUGAAACACGGACCAAGGAGUCUAACAUCUAUGCGAGUGUUUGGGUGUCAAACCCAUACGCGUAAUGAAAGUGAACGGAGGUGAGAACCCUUAAGGGUGCAUCAUCGACCGAUCCUGAUGUCUUCGGAUGGAUUUGAGUAAGAGCAUAGCUGUUGGGACCCGAAAGAUGGUGAACUAUGCGUGAAUAGGGUGAAGCCAGAGGAAACUCUGGUGGAGGCUCGCAGCGGUUCUGACGUGCAAAUCGAUCGUCAAAUUUGCGCAUAGGGGCGAAAGACUAAUCGAACCAUCUAGUAGCUGGUUCCUGCCGA